UUCUCCCAUAUGAGACGGUUCUCCUUACCUCUACCCUCCAUAGUAAAUAACAACCACUUUACUGAGACUAUUUCAUUUCAUUUCAUCUCAUUCUAUUCCAUGAUUUUUGGAGGAGGAUUUCACUUACGGUGUCAUAUAAAUCAACUUCAUCUCAUUCCAUAUCAUCCUUCAUAUCAUUUUUCAUAAAACGGAAUAUGGAAAGUUGAAGGCAACAGAUCUAGAGGCCGCAACCAUACUCGUUGGUCCGAUCAGAUCCGCACCGCUUUGGACAGUACAGUGUACAGCGCGCUGCAUGACGCCGUGGACAGGGGAAAGUGGAAAAAGAUCCUAAGAUUGAAGCUCAUGGGUGAUGGUGGUCACGACCCUCAGACAUGAGGAACACGACUCGAGGAGGAGGAAACAGUUGUUCAGAGUAAGUAAUUUAAUUGUUAUAUUUUUGCUAAUUUACAAUUUUUUAUGUUAAUUUGUUUGAAGGUUAGGAAAUUUUAAUAUUUACAAAAUUAAAUAGCAUGUGGCCUUUUAAUUUGCCACUCGUCAUUUGAGAAUUUAAAAUACUAUUUUUCAUAAAACAUAAAAUAAAAAUAUUUCAUAAAUUCUCUUUUCUAAAUUUUUAUUUCAAAAAAAUAUUUAAUUAAUAAUUUCUAAUGCUGACAAAAACACGUGGAAUUUUAAUCUAAUAUUCAUCAUCUGAAGUUUUACUAUAAUUAUAACGCACGCACUUAUUUAAAUAUUCUUUAUUGCAAAAAUGGGUGAACGAACCCACCUGGUUUUAAGAGAUCACCGCAGCCCAUAUUCAUGAACCUCGUCAAUGCCACUGUCUAUUUUGAGAGAUUAGUUCUAAUUCUCCGCUUUGCAGUACAACAGCUGCCCCACCCUUCAAACCAAAACGAAUUACUGCUUUACGGCAGAAAUAGGCAGGGAGGUGUUACCCAUCUGUGCGGGCUCAUAAGAUGUCCUGCCGCCAGUAAAUAUAUAUAAUAAUACCUAGUAAUAAUAUAAAAAUGGAAAAUUUUGAUAAACUCGAUACUGGCAACAAUAGCAUCGCAAAAGCCAUACUGAAAAAAGAAAAAGAACCACCGAUCUACAUUUUUGUUUAAUAAUUUAUUAAGUGUAUUAUCAAUGGGUUAUUAUUAUAUGCCAAUAUUUCAGUAUGCCAAUAAGUUUAUUACCUAUGAUGCUGGUGUUGAGCUCCUAACCCAAGACGUUUGAGUUGCCGCUAAUCCUAAUCUCACGGAUCGUUUUUAAUGUAUUAAAAAACAAUACGGAGGGACUGGUUUCCUUUGUUUUAUAGUAUGGAUCCACUUAGAGUGCGUACUUGUAGCACUCAUCGAAAGUGCGUUUCGAGAGAUAUUUUUUGUGAAGGUUCUGGAAUCCAAUCAGCCAUAGUUUUUCUUGGACACUCACUUAUUGUCCUUUUGCAAAUAACGUUUCAAAAGAGUCCCUACAGGUAAGACAGCUUCUAAAACAAUGGCUGUCAUUUCAAACUCACGGUUGCUCCGUGGCAGGGAAUGAAAUGAUAUAGUGCCUACCGACUACCGUGGAUAUGGAACGCUUAGUAUAACUUUCAUUUAACCCGGCGUCAUGGGGGUUGGGUCAAAAUAACCCGAGACGUUUUAGUUAGCUUACAGAUUCGUAAUUACGCAAGUGACAGUGCCGUACCUCUCAAUAGCUGGAAUUUAUGACUUCCUCUAAGCAUUGUUUACAAUAAUUUUGUUGUGCUGCGACCGUGCUUGGGGCUAACUGUGACCAAAGUUAAAAAAAGGUAAAUAUGACCCAUCCCCGUACUCGGUGUAACAGUUUUGCGCCAUUGAUUCCAAAUAUGGCUUUUAUGCUUUUUCAUUGUUUUAUGUGUUGUUAUUUUACAUUUUAUGUUUGAACUAUCGUUUCUUACUAUUUUACUAUCUUUUUAUUGGUAUAUCGAAAAAAAAAUGGAUCGAGAGGAAGGAGAACGAGAACGUAUUUUAUCAAUUCUUGAAUCAUAUGACUCAGAUAUCAUGUCCUCUGAUCAGGAGUCUGCUGAUGUCAAGUCUGUACUAUGACAACAGUAUUGAUAAUUCAACUGGAGAAAAGCGAAAGUCAGAAAUAAAUACGUAUUACAAUUCAAUAAAAUAUGGAGCGGAUAUGGCUGAUGAGUUAUACGCUCCAUAAUAUGACGUGUGUCGCAAAUCAAAAAACUAUUUUUUGAGUUUUCUACGCCUUUUUCAAAAUGUUUGCUGUCAACGGACUUACAUACAUACAUGGAAUCAAUAAUGAGUCGAACCAAAAGCGAUGUCAAUAUCUGAAGAAACUAGGCCUUGCCCUUGUGAGUGAACUUCUGAGAUUCCGCCAGAUUGUAAUACGUUUGCCUCGAGAAAUGCGAAAAAAAUAGGAUUAUUUGCUAGCGGAGAUUCGGAGGAGCCUUCAGCUAGGAGACCCAAUACUCAUAAGAAAUGUUAGGUAUGUCCUGCGAAAAAACACUACAAAACAACCCAUACAUGUUAUGGUUGCAAACAAAUAUAUUUCACCUGAACAUGUCGUACUUUUCUGCAGUGAUUGUAUUCACAACGAUGAUUCUGAUUAGUUUUAAGUAAGUUUUAUUUAAUGAUAUCGUAGUUAAGUUCAUAAAAGCUAUAAAAAAUUAAAGAUUAUCAAUUAGUGCAAAUAAAUAUGAGAUUAGGCUAAGGAACGCCAUUUUUGUUAAUUUUUACGUGUUUAUGUUUUGAAAGGCUUAAAGAUUUAAUUACGAUAUUCUGCAAUACAAAUUCUUGUUUUAUUUACUAAACCGUAAAACAAUAAAGUCAUUACCAUAAAAUAA